rnacentral:rRNA from 1 species
GAUGAACGCUGGCGGCGUGCCUAAUACAUGCAAGUCGAGCGAACAGACGAUGAGCUUGCUCCUCUGACGUUAGCGGCUGACGGGUGAGUAACACGUGCAUAACCUACCUAUUUUUCUGGGAUAACUUCGGGAAACCGGUUCUAAUACCGCCUAAUAUAUUGUACCGCAUGGUUCAUUAGUUAUAGACGGUUUUUCUGUCUCUUAUAGAUGGUUCCGCGCCGCAUUAGCUAGUUGGUAAGGUAACGGCUUACCAAGGCAACGAUGCGUAGCCGACCUGAGAGGGUGAUCGGCCAAACUGGAACUGAGACACGGUCCAGACUCCUACGGGAGGCAGAAGUAGGGAAUAUUACGCAAUGGGCGAAAGCCUGACGGAGCAAAGCCGCGUGAGUGAAGAAGGUCUUCGGAUCGUAAAACUCUGUUAUUAGGGAAGAAAAAAAGUGUAAGAAAAGAUGCACGUCUUGACGGUACCUAAACAAAAAGCAACGGCUAACUACGUG